rnacentral:tmRNA from 1 species
GGGGGCGUAAAGGUUUCGACGGGGGUAUUUUAAAAAUGAGUGGCAAGUGGUGACGGGUUUACACCUAAAAAAGCCCAAAAUCAAAUUAAACGCUAACGAUAAUUUAGCUUACGCAGCCUAGGGCUGCCGUCCCGCGCGUGAGGACCACGGCAUGAGCAGGGGCGUCAAACAGUGGUGAACGUGAGGCGGAUAAGCUUUGCCCCGCCCAUGAACAAUGAAGCUACCGGCGUGCGAAUGUUUGUUUGUGGACACCGCAUGCAGGAAAAAAUGACCACAAACUAAACUUGUAGAAGCUCAUUUUGCGUACUUUCGGACGCGGGUUCAACUCCCGCCGCCUCCACCA